rnacentral:misc_RNA from 1 species
GGCGUCGUAACAAGGUUUCCGUAGGUGAACCUGCGGAAGGAUCAUUAACAUACAUACAUAAAAAUCCAAACUCACAAUAAUUUUUGUUCUUGCUACACUGCUGCUGUUAUGGCUUGUUUGUUACUAUAUUAUUCAUUUCAAUGGAUAAUGACAGCGAGUCAACCAAUCAGUAGUAGUGCCAUUUUCAAGUAUGAACCUACAAUUAUUACCAUACCAUUAUUACCAACUAAUAAUAAAUAUCAAUACAAAAAUUUUCAACGAUGGAUGUCUUGGUUCCCAU